AUUGAACGCUGGCGGCAGGCCUAACACAUGCAAGUCGAACGGUAACAGGAAGAAGCUUGCUUCUUUGCUGACGAGUGGCGGACGGGUGAGUAAUGUCUGGGAAACUGCCUGAUGGAGGGGGAUAACUACUGGAAACGGUAGCUAAUACCGCAUAACGUCGCAAGACCAAAGAGGGGGACCUUCGGGCCUCUUGCCAUCGGAUGUGCCCAGAUGGGAUUAGCUAGUAGGUGGGGUAACGGCUCACCUAGGCGACGAUCCCUAGCUGGUCUGAGAGGAUGACCGGCACCACGGAACCUGGGACACGGUCCCAACCCCUACGGGAGGCAGCGGUGGGAAAUCUUGCACAAUGGGCGAAAGCCUAAUGCGGCCAUGCCGGGUGUAUGAGAAGGGCCUUCGGUUUGUAAAGUACUUUCAGCGGGGAGGAGGGAGUAAAGUUAAUACCUUUGCUCAUUGACGUUACCCGCAGAAGAAGCACCGGCUAACUCCGUG
rnacentral:rRNA from 1 species